rnacentral:misc_RNA from 1 species
UCGAAGGUCUGACCGGAGGAGACAACAACAGGGUCGUACAUUAAGGAUCCAGAAAUGGGGCAAAGGAACUCUUUUGGAGGAUGAGUAGAUUUGUGGUUGGAGUUGGAGCGACGGUAGAAGGAGAUUUUCCAUCUGUGCUUGCCAUUACCACCCAUAGCUUGAAAAAGUAGUAGAGAUGAAUUGUGGCAAGAAGCUUUUGAAGUUGGGGUUUUUAUUAACAGGAAGAAGACUGGGUCUGAAGGUCUGGUUUUUAGUCUUACUCGGCUAAAGCAGCUAGUUUUCUUGUCU